UUCUGUUUCUUCCAGUUAUCCUGCUACUCUUUCCAAUCCUUUUAUGUUGCCUAUCCAUUCAUCACAAAAGUUAGAGAUCUUACUGCCAUAUAUUAGUUCUUCAAGUUCCAGUGAUAUAGUACUUGCUUAUACUUCUCAUAGUAUCCAAACCAGACUUAAAACUGGUACCAUUACUAGAAAAGAUUACAUUGCUCUUGCAUCAAUUUUUCGUCAAAUUUAGCCCUUGACUCUAAUAGUGCACAUUUUUCAGGAGGUUUUACAUUUCUUGCUGAUAUCAUAGAUUCAUAUAAGCCUUCAUCUUUCAGGGUUACAUCACAAAUUCCUUAGUGGCAACAAGCUAUGCAAGAAGAGUACGAUGCAUUGCAAACUCAAGAAAAAUACAUCACGAAUUUGAUACAUAAGGUUGGAAUGGAUGGGUGUAAGCCUUGUUCUACUUCUUGUUAACCACAUCAAUCUACUCUUAUCACAGAAGGGGAACUCUUAUCAGAUCCAACAUUGUAUAGAAGUCUUGUUGGUGUUUUACAGUAUCUUAUCUUUACCAGGCCUGAUAUAGCCUUUGCUAUCAACAAUGUUUGUCAAUUCAUGAAUGCUCCAACUGAUAUUCAUUUCCGUCUAGUUAAAAGGAUACUUCGAUUUCUUCAGGACACUAUGCAACGUGGUUUACAUUUUCACU